rnacentral:rRNA from 1 species
GGACCCGCACAAGCAGUGGAUUAUGCGGUUUAAUUCGAAGCAACGCGAAGAACCUUACCAACCCUUGACAUUGAAUUAAUCUGAAAGAGAUUUCGGAGUGCCCUUUCGGGGGAAAAUGAAAACAGGUGGUGCAUGGUUGUCGUCAGCUCGUGUCGUGAGAUGUUGGGUUAAGUCCCGCAACGAGCGCAACCCCUGCCAUAUGUAGCUACAGUAAGAUGAGCACUCAUAUGGGACUGCCGGUGUAAGCCGGAGGAAGGCGGGGAUGAGGUCAAAUCAUCAUGCCCUUUAUGGGUUGGGCAACACGCGUAAUACAAUGGCGUGAACAAAGAGAAGCAAGUCAGCAAUGACAAGCGAAAACUGAAAAAACACGUACUCAGUUCGGAUUGCAGGCUGAAACUCGCCUGCAUGAAGCUGGAAUUGCUAGUAAUCGCGGAUCAGAAUGCCG